CUUCCAAAUAUACUAUAUAACGAAAAGAACACGCUAAAAAAGUAGUACAAUCAUUAUAUGCAAGUUCUUCUACCUUUAGGCACAAUGAGACUCUCUCUGUUUCUUCAAUGCUUGCUUUGUCUCUGCCUAGCGCUGCUUCUGAUUCAUCCCUCCGUUUUAGGGCGUAUGGAUCACGGCCGAGGCCGUUACAGUGAUAGCCCAAUAAAGCCACCGCCAAGACCACCCAAGGCUCCUAGCCACCACCCAUGAAUCAUAAAAAAAGAUUGAGUUGUGUUGUAUGUAUAAAACUCACUAUAUUUUAUAGAUCAAAUUUAUUAAUUUCUGUUAUACUAUUGAACUAGUUAAACACAUAAAUUAACUGAAUCUCAUACCUCAUACCUCAUCCAGUAAAAGAACAUGAAUCAAUUUGAUAUUAAAAAAAAAAUAUGAGUAUGAUUAUAUGUUAAUAGUGUAGAGACUGAAUAUACAGAGCAUAUAUAAAGUGCAGAACUAGAGUUAAGUAAAUCAAGUAUUUCCUAAGUCAAUCAGUUGUUUCCUUUUAUAUUCAGUCUGUUAAAGUUAGUUGUAGUAGAAUUGCCUCUUUAGGUUAGCCUCAGUCUCUGUAUAUAGUGCAGAGUCGUUAGAGUGUAUUACGCAUCAAUUCAUAAUACAAUACAUGCAUAUUCAGUUA